rnacentral:rRNA from 1 species
CCUACGGGAGGCAGCAGUGGGGAAUUUUGCGCAAUGCUCGUAAGAGUGACGCAGCGACGCCGCGUGAAUGACGAAGGCCUUCGGGUCGUAAAGUUCUUUCGACAGGGAAGAAAAUGCCUAUAAGUAACUGUGUAUGUAUUGACGGUACCUGUAUAAGCAGCCCCGGCUAACUCCGUGCCAGCAGCCGCGGUAAUACGGAGGGGGCGAGCGUUGUUCGGAGGGACUGGGCGUAAAGAGAACGUAGGCGGUGUGUUAAGUCAUUAGUCAAAGACCAGAGCUCAACUUUAGUAAGGCUAGUGAUACUAUAAUACUAGAGUAUCAGAGAGGAUUGCAGAAUUCCUGGUGUAGCGGUGAAAUGCGUAGAUAUCAGGAGGAAUACCGUUAGCGAAGGCGGCAAUCUGGCUGGAAACUGACGCUGAGGUGCGAAAGCGUGGGUAGCAAACAGGAUUAGAUACCCGAGUAGUC